CCAUAGGGCCAAAAUCUUCUGUAGGCACCAGGUCCCAUGUGAUUUUGGAAGCUGAGCAGAUUCAGCCUUGGAAAGUCCUUGGAUAAGAGACCACCAAUAAAUGCAAGGUGCUGUACAUU
rnacentral:rRNA from 11 species